rnacentral:rRNA from 1 species
CGAUCCCGGAGAGGGAGCCUGAGAAACGGCUACCACAUCCAAGGAAGGCAGCAGGCGCGCAAAUUACCCACUCCCGGCACGGGGAGGUAGUGACGAAAAAUAACGAUACGGGACUCAUCCGAGGCCCCGUAAUCGGAAUGAGUAUACUCUAAAUCCUUGUACGAGUAUCAAUUGGAGGGAAAGUCUGGUGCCAGCAGCCGCGGUAAUUCCAGCUCCAAUAGCGUAUAUUAAAGUUGUUGCGGUUAAAAAGCUCGUAGUUGGAUCUGUGUCUCGCGACGUCGGUUCGCCGCCUGUCGGUGUUCAACUGGCGUUUUGCGAGACGUCCUGCCGGUGGCCGCCCUGGCCCGCGUUAAGCCCUAGGUUCUGUCCCUCGGGAAAGGCCGAAGGUACCCGCGGAACGCCAGGCAGCCUUUAAAUCCCGUCGCGGUGCUCUUAAACGAGUGUCGAGGCGGGCCGGCACGUUUACUUUGAACAAAUUAGAGUGCUUUAAGGAGGCGCAGAGCCGCCUACAUAUUGUGUGCAUGGAAUAAUGGAAUAGGGCCUCGGUUCUAUUUUGUUGGUUUUAAGAAUCCGAGGUAAUGAUCAAUGGGGACAGGCGGGGGCAUUCGUAUUGCGACGUUAGAGGUGAAAUUCUUGGAUCGUCGCAAGACGGACCGAAGCGAAAGCGUUUGCCAAGUAUGUUCCCGUCGAUCAAGAACGAAAGUUAGAGGUUCGAAGGCGAUCAGAUACCGCCCUAGUUCUAACCAUAAACUAUGCCUGCCAGCGAUCCGCCGAAGUUCCUCCGAUGACUCGGCGGGCGGCUUCCGGGAAACCAGAGCUUUUAGUUUCCGGGGGAAGUAUGGUUGCAAAGCUGAAACUUAAAGGAAUUGACGGAAGGGCACCACCAGGAGUGGAGCCUGCGGCUUAAUUUGACUCAACACGGGAAAACUCACCAGGCCCGGACACCGGAAGGAUUGACAGAUUGAUAGCUCUUUCUUGAUUCGGUGGGUGGUGGUGCAUGGCCGUUCUUAGUUCGUGGAGCGAUUUGUCUGGUUAAUUCCGAUAACCGAGCGAGACUCUAGCCUGCUAACUAGGCGUACCCGGUAUCCACAAUCGUGCUACCGGCGAUACAUUUUCUUCUUAGAGGGACAGGCGGCUUCUAGCCGCACGAGAUUGAGCAAUAACAGGUCUGUGAUGCCCUUAGAUGUCCUGGGCCGCACGCGCGCUACACUGAAGGAAUCAGCGUGUCUUCCCUGUCCGAGAGGACCGGGUAACCCGCUGAACCUCCUUUGUGCUAGGGAUUGGGGCUUGCAAUUGUGCCCCAUGAACGAGGAAUUCCCAGUAAGCGCGAGUCAUAAGCUCGCGUUGAUUACGUCCCUGCCCU